GGGGAAUAUUGCACAAUGGGCGAAAGCCUGAUGCAGCAACGCCGCGUGAGUGAUGAAGGCCUUCGGGUUGUAAAGCUCUGUCUUUGGGGACGAUAAUGACGGUACCCAAGGAGGAAGCCACGGCUAACUACGUGCCAGCAGCCGCGGUAAUACGUAGGUGGCGAGCGUUGUCCGGAUUUACUGGGCGUAAAGGAUGCGUAGGCGGAUGUUUAAGUCAGAUGUGAAAAUCCCGAGCUUAACUUGGGAACUGCAUUUGAAACUGGAUAUCUAGAGUGCGGGAGAGGAGAAUGGAAUUCCUAGUGUAGCGGUGAAAUGCGUAGAGAUUAGGAAGAACACCAGUGGCGAAGGCGAUUCUCUGGACCGUAACUGACGCUGAGGCAUGAAAGCGUGGGUAGCAAAC
rnacentral:rRNA from 1 species